UGCGUCUGGAAGCUCUGUCUGGAAGUUAAAAUGUAUGCAUGCAUAUAAGAAACCAGUCAUAUUUCUUAACAUGGAACCACUGACACUCAACAUGGUGCAUAUCAUGUGAUUGUUCUGAUGUUUGUCUCUUCCUGUCUUUUUUCAGCUCAGCAGAUAACACUUCCUCCACCACCUGCAAGAAACCAGCUGGUUGCCCAGAGGAGGAUGAGUCUUUAGUGACCCUACCACGGAUUGCCACUUCAUCUUGGGUCCCAGUUGAAGAAGAACUCACACAGAGGGAGGUAAGUCAUACCACAGAGGGAGGUGGCUCAGACAUGGAGAUCAAAAUGAGAG